GGUUCCUAACCCCGGGGGCUGAACUGCCCAGGGAACAGCUGAGUUUAACUAUUCUUAUGCAGGCAGCAGCAGCAGGCAUCUCUCAGCCAGUCUCCCUGCUCACUGCAAGCUAGAGCCUAGAGGAGAGCCCCUGCUGAGUGGCGGGUGGGGGAGGAACGCAGAGCCUUACUGUCUGCAGCCUGGCUGGAGGAGGAGGAAGGAGACGAGAAACCAAUGUGACACCAGAUCCACUGCCAACAUGAUCCUCCACUGCAGGACCUCAGUGGAGCACACCGAGAAUGGACAUACGCCACUUGACUCUUAAGCAUUCAUCUAGAAAAUGCCUAAACUUGUUUGGCUCCCUGACUCACAGUAAUUGUCUGCAAACUGAAUCCCUUCAAUGUGUUGUUUCACAUAUGCCCCUGCUCUCUACCACCAGGCCUGUUGGAUUGGUCAGCUGUCAUUUCUAAUCCACUGUGUCUGCCCAAUGCAUUCAUAAUCAUUCAACCUAUGCUUGCUCUUCUAGAGGGUGCACUGAAAACAGUUAUUUUUGAUUCAAACUGACUCACAGGCCCAGCCUACAAAGUAAAAGUAUUUGUAACUAAGUUAGUGACAAAACAAAUUUGCUUCCAACACUGUAAUACAUUGCAAUGUACAUUUUUAUAUCACAUUGCUUUUUGGGGUUUUAACUUUGAUAGCACAGUGUAAUAAACCCACAACCACUUAAGAACUUAGUAGCUAUCAGUGCAUGGCAUAGCAUGGGUACUUGGAAUGUCAGUGGGCAAGGAUAGAAAUCAGAUCCUCCAAUUCUGGGCUUAGUCCAGAAUGACUUCAAUAGCAGGCUUCGGAUUAGGCCCUUGAUGCACAGACCUGUACACUACAUGAAGUAAAGAAAAAUCUCAAUUUGCUAUUAGCAGUAUAAGGCCUCUGACACAAACGAGCAGUUGUAAUUCCAUGCAGUAGAGGCCAGUGGUACAAAUACACACUAUCCAGUUCAUUACAAUAAUAAAUUCCUUUCCCUCCCCAGUGACAGUUAAAAUGGCAAAUACUAGAAUAUUUUUUAAAAUGCCUUUGACUAGUGUAUGGACAUGUGGUUAUAAUUAUUGUAUUUACAGAAGAAUCUGUUGUUCUCCUUUCUUCAUAUUUCUGGUGUCUCCCAGGAAAUAUGCCAAUUUGUGGGCAUUUUGCUCCAUAUUAAAGGAAACUUUCCUACAAGCAGGGCUCAUUGUCACAGAGCACCGGCGUGCUAGGAGUAGAAAAUUAAUAUCCUGAGAGCCAUCUGUAAAAAAUGGGCAGGAAUGAAUAUGAAUAAAUAUCGAAUAUAACUGUUGUAAA